ACAUGAAAAAAAAAUGAGGCAAGAAAGGGCUUUAUACAAAGGUAUUGAGGCCACAUUUGUCAAACCCAGAAUCCCACGUAGAUUUGGGAACUAUGUUUCAAGCUGAGCUCAAAACUUUCAAGUCUCAAAAGUGCUACUUACCCCAAGUAAAAGGCAAUUUUCCAGCUCAAAGAAAGGCAGUUCUGCAAGGUUCAGGAAAAAAGGUCAGAAGACUCCUUGUACAUCAAUCAGCUCCUGGAAAACAACAUGUCAAUGAGUUAAGUGAACACGAAUCAGGCACAUAUGGAUUGAAUUUCCCUUGAAAUACUCCUGGGGUCCAAGUUUAAGGAGUAGAGUGGAGGAGGGGUAUAAAGUCUUAAGAAAAUCUCAUGUAUUCUUCUGCAGACCCCAAACAUAUGAAAAUGCUUCCAAGAUGUCAGAUGGCCAGGCUGCAAGUCCUGUUGGCCCGAAUCAAUGUUAAGGCCAGCUGACCUUUGUUUCUUGAGAUGAGAAUGUAUCUAAAGCCUAAACGAUAGCCCAGGACUUCCCUGCCUUGGUUUCAACUUCACUUCAUGGCAUGGAGAUAGGGAGAUCUGGUAGAGGGUGGCUUUGAAGUUCCCGGGAAGGGAAAUAGAUUUAUUUCGGAGGAAAAAAAUGAACUGCAAGAAACAUUCAAGUUUACUGGUCGUUACUGCCAGUAGCCUAUGUUUCUAAGUAAGUAAAUCAACCCUUCUAUGCUUUCUUUCCUCCUAGAAUCAUAAGAAAAGCAAGUGGGAAUUAAUAUAGAUGUGGGAGAGAAAAGCAAGCGUAAGAGAAUUUUCCUAAGACCAUUCCACAUGGAAGUAUGUAACAUUGUGGAAAUAUGCUUUAUAAAUAGAGGUUCUCAUAAAAUCUUAAGAAAGAGAACAAUGCAGCAUUGAAGUCUAUUUUAGCCCCAAACACUAAACAAAAAUGUAAUGGGUAAAUAACAUUUAGAUUUUUCAUCUCAUAUAAGGUUCAUAUACAUGAGGACUAUUUAAAUCUGUUUGUACAUGAAAUGUUAAGAAUUCACCAUUGACAAUAAGCUAGUCCAUCGUAUCCACAUGGACCAAAAACUGAUUACUACCAACCCUUUUCUCACACAGCUUCAUAAAAACUUAAACUGAGAAUCAGACAUUUAAAACUCUUUAAAAGGAAACCUGUUGAGAAACAAUAUGGUUCACGUUUUUUGUUUUCUAUGGCAUUUUUGUAGUCAAACUAUAAUUUCUCUUUAGGAAAAGUACCGAACUAGAAACUUCUUGGGCGGCGGUGGCAACCGUUGUGGACUUUUUCUCCUUUUUCUUUUCUUUUCUUUUUUUUUUUUUUUAAGGCAGGAGGUAAUCAGAGAUAAAUGUUAAUGGGAUUUUUUUAAACAAAUGAUGCACUGUCAAGAGAAAAGUUUUUCACAAUUGUCAAAUUGUGUAGACAGUGUUCAAAUUGCUCAUUCAUUAUCAGUAGCACCACCAAGUUGAAAACACACUUUUUCUCGUCGGCAGUUGAUUGAUGCGCAUUACUCAUAUCAGGCUAAUGGCACUUUAUUUUCCAACAGUAGCAAGUAAUGAGUGACCUUGAGUGCAUAUUGUUUUCCUGCAAGGGUUUGUUGCUCUGCUUCCUUCAUAAGCACCCCAAGGAAACAAGGCCCCUGUAUUGGUGUUCUGCAGCAAACCUCAUUUCUUUCAUGGCUUUCUGUAAAAGAAUUUGAUACAGGGAUAGAAGCUAACCUCAGUGAGUAAAUGAAAUAUUGAUCCAUGCUACUCUGGCCUUGCCUUCACCUUGUCCCAGGGCGGUGAGUUACUGACUUUUCCGUUUUGGCUGUAAUAGGAAUUAUUACAACAGGCCUGUGCAAGUAAUUACUUGGCAUGGUAAAAAAGGAGAGUCCAUCAUAUAUUUCUGUAGAGACGUUAGUUUCCAUCAGCCCAGCAGUCUGCUUUUUUGGCUCUGUCUUUCCUACUCUUGAUUCAAUUCUUUUAACCAUCAUUAAUCACAGUCCUUGUCAGCAGAAGUUUAUCAAAAGUAUUAAGUGAGCAAGGUUGCCUGGCCUCCUUAAAAAAAAAUCAGCCAACACGGGGCAGUAAAUUUCAAAAUAUGGAAGGUUGGUUCCGUGAUAUAUAUGAGUGUCUCUUCAGCUAGAAUGAGCCGUUUGUUUUAGUGAUAGAUAUUGUAGUUUGAGCUGUGAUAGAAUCCUUCUCAAGUUUAUGUGUCGUGGGCUAUCGUUUAUGAGAGACCAUGUGUUUCUAAAUGGUGAAGGUCAAGGCUGAUGGCAAAAGUAAAAGCAGUGGUGAUUCAUUAAAAAUAGUUAAUAGGGCCUGUGGCUGACAGGGAUAAAUAGGAACAUGUGGCUUGCCAAGCCACUGGUACCCAAAUUGACAUUGUGCUUUUGGUCCCAACUCACCACUUCCAAUCGCCAGACAGCUGUGAGCCGACAAACAGACAGUAGGCAAAGUCGCCUCUUGUUAACAACAGAUGAGGAGAAA
rnacentral:lncRNA from 1 species